rnacentral:misc_RNA from 1 species
GUAGGUGAACCUGCGGAGGGAUCAUUCACAUGAUUUACUUUUAACAAACUGUGAACUUUAUUAACCAUUCGUGUUUGUUUUGUUUCAAUGACUUGUCAUUGUCACUUUACAUACACUGUCAUUCGAUGAACAUUAGAUAGCUGGCUUGUACUUAAACCAUACUUUCUCAGCUGAUUUGUUGUACUAAACAUACUUCCAAUCACCAAAAUAUAGAAAUAACUCUAUGCCCUGGAUAUCUUGGUUCUC